rnacentral:rRNA from 1 species
GCAGGCCUAACACAUGCAAGUCGAGCGGUAGAGAGAAGCUUGCUUCUCUUGAGAGCGGCGGACGGGUGAGUAAUGCCUAGGAAUCUGCCUGGUAGUGGGGGAUAACGUUCGGAAACGGACGCUAAUACCGCAUACGUCCUACGGGAGAAAGCAGGGGACCUUCGGGCCUUGCGCUAUCAGAUGAGCCUAGGUCGGAUUAGCUAGUUGGUGAGGUAAUGGCUCACCAAGGCGACGAUCCGUAACUGGUCUGAGAGGAUGAUCAGUCACACUGGAACUGAGACACGGUCCAGACUCCUACGGGAGGCAGCAGUGGGGAAUAUUGGACAAUGGGCGAAAGCCUGAUCCAGCCAUGCCGCGUGUGUGAAGAAGGUCUUCGGAUUGUAAAGCACUUUAAGUUGGGAGGAAGGGUUGUAGAUUAAUACUCUGCAAUUUUGACGUUACCGACAGAAUAAGCACCGGCUAACUCUGUGCCAGCAGCCGCGGUAAUACAGAGGGUGCAAGCGUUAAUCGGAAUUACUGGGCGUAAAGCGCGCGUNGUGGUUUGUUAAGUUGGAUGUGAAAUCCCCGGGCUCAACCUGGGAACUGCAUUCAAAACUGACUGACUAGAGUAUGNAGAGGGUGGGUGGGNAUUUUCCCUGGUGUAGCGGUGAAAUGCGUCGNNAUAUAUGGANAGGGNACCCCAGUGGGCGAANGGG